AUCAUCAUCAUCAACAUCAUCUGACAGUUGUUCAAUGUUUUCUUUAUUCUUAUUCAAUUCAUUUGCACGCAAUGUUCAUGAGGAGGUCCAGAGAGAAUGUGAUGAAGAAGAAGAUUGAAGACUGAACUGAACUGAACAACAACAACAACAACUAGAAGAAUGAGAGCAAAGUUUUGCUGUUCAUCAUCGAUGAUGAUGAUUAUUAUUUAUAGAGUUUUUGUUGUUGUUGUUGUUGUUGUUGUCUGGAUUUUGAUCUUCUAAUGUUGUUUCAACAACCAUGAUGAUGUGUUGUGGACAAUCAAUAAAUUGAAGAAUUGAGAAUUGGCAAAUGAGGAUUCUGUUUGGUACACCCUUUCCACUAUGGAAAUAUCGAAUAAAAAAUCAAUUUUUUUUGGCAAAAUUUUUCAAUGAAAAAAAAGAAAGAAAUUCAAGAAGAUAUUUUUCCAUAUGGCCAAACCCGAGACAUUGAGUUUUGAAACCAAAUUCAUUGAAGCUGAUCAUAGUUAACCAUCAACAACAACAACAAAAAAACGAACGAACGAAAGAAAAAAAAUCGUUAGUUCGAAAACUAUUUUGAAGUGAAGAAUUUUCUCAUUUUCACCAUCUUCAUUCAUCAACACCACUAACUAUUAAUGAAUCUAAAUCUUUUAGAGAAAAAAAAGGAAAAAAACAACAACAAUCUUUAUUUGAAACUGAAAACAUUUUGCUCUGAUUUUUUUUAUUUUAUUUCUCCAAAUGCAGCCUGUUUUUUUCAUCCAUUUCACUGUGUAUUCGGCUUCUUCAUCAUCAUCAUCAUCGAAUGGUUUUUUUUUGUUUGAUUCAUUUCCUUGGCCAACCAACCGACCAAUCAACCAAUCGAAAUGUGAAAAAAAAAUUAAGAAAUUGACUUGGCCAAUGAAAGAUCAUCAUCAUCAUCAUCAUCAGGUUGAACCGAACAACAACAAAAAACAGAAGAAAGAAAAAACUCGAUGGACUGACUGACCGAUCGAAAACUAAACACUCUAAACGAUAUUGAAAAAAAAACGAAAGGCAACGCGAUAGGAAAAAAAAUCCGAUAAAUCAUCAAUUUUUUUUCCCA